AUUGAACGCUGGCGGCAUGCCUUACACAUGCAAGUCGAACGGUAACGGGCCUUCGGGUGCCGACGAGUGGCGAACGGGUGAGUAAUAUAUCGGAACGCACCUUUCAGUGGGGGAUAACGUAGCGAAAGUUACGCUACUACCGCAUAUUCUGUGCGCAGGAAAGCAGGGGACCUUCGGGCCGUGUGCUGAUUGAUCGGCCGAUAUCAGAUUAGCUAGUUGGUGAGGUAAAGGCUCACCAAGGCGACGAUCUGUAGCGGGUCUGAGAGGAUGAUCCGCCACACUGGAACUGAGACACGGUCCAGACUCCUACGGGAGGCAGCAGUGGGGAAUGUUGGACAAUGGGGGCAACCCUGAUCCAGCCAUGCCGCGUGAGUGAGGAAGGCCUUCGGGUUGUAAAGCUCUUUCGGCCGGGAAGAAAUCGUAUGGGCUAAUACCCUGUGCGGAUGACGGUACCGGCAUAAGAAGCACCGGCUAACUACGUGCCAGCAGCCGCAGUAACAC
rnacentral:rRNA from 1 species